ACAAUACUCCCUCUGUCCGAAAAUACUUGUCAUCAAAAUGAACAAAGAGGGAUGUAUCUAGAACUAAAAUACAUCUAGAUACAUUCCCUUUUAUUCAUUUUGAUGACAAGUAUUUUCGGACGGAGGGAGUACUAA
rfam:Triticum aestivum genome assembly, contig: Triticum_aestivum_CS42_TGACv1_scaffold_146114_2BS